CCUACUGGCUUGUGCCCGGAGUUUUUACCCAGUUAGGUUUUCUUCGUCAACAUUUUGUUACGUUUUUAUUGCUUUCUGUUGUUUUGAUUUCAACCGGCAAUUCAACUUAGGUAGCUAAAUUAUGUGAAUGAAUCUGGACAAAGCGUAAUUUAUGUGACAUGUUGCAUAAGUCAAUUAAAUUGUUAAAUUCCGCAUAAACACCUAUUCACCCCCUCUAGGUAUUGUUUGGGUCGAACUAUAGACUUUUCAAAGAGGAGCUAUGCACACUGUCUCUUUUUUAUUUGUUUAUGAAAAAUUCUUGCUAUGCUUUUAGAUGAAGUUGUGGAACUAAAUAAUGGUUGACACAAUUGAACUAUGCUACAAUGUCAAAAUAAUUGACACAGAGGAAUGCUAUUUAGCUCCAAUGGGUCUAGUCUAGUGGCACUAACGUGUCAUUAAUUGAUGGUAGAAUUAAAUUUUACAUUUCAUUUAAUCAAUCAUAGAUUGCCACCUAAAUUGAGUUUGCAAUCUUAGUGGGGCUACGUAGCAUUAUUUAUUGACAUAAUAUCACAUGACACUUUUUGAUCGAAUUGUUUGAAACAUAUUCAUCAUUUCCAUCAAAUCACCUCCUGGCACCUAGAGAGUUUGGCACUUCUUCUGGGAAAGUGGUUUAACCCUUACAUUAAUUUUAUUAUUUGAUUAAUAUUGUGCUAUCUAAAGGUGAUCAAUUAGAUGGAUUGCAGCUAAUAUAUUCCCUCGUACAAAUUGAUGCGAUUUUGGGGUUGAAUGCUUAUUUUGUAACUUGGAGUAUAUUUUUAUGCGCAUUAGGUUGAAUGCUUUGGUACAAAUGUGAAUGACACUUUUGUGCAAAUGCAAAAGAGAAAUAUAUAUAUAUAUAUAUAUAUAUAUAUAUAUGGACACACACACACACACAGAGAACUAGUUAACUUGAUGGUUAUCAUCUCUGAUCAUAAAACUUCAUGUGUUGAAUUGUAUAUUUUGUUACGGAGUGCACUUUUGGAUUUUGUAUUUUUAGGACAUUGCAAAUACAGAGCUUGCCCCCAACACAUCCCAUUCGGCUUGGACUUGCUCUCAACUUCUCAGUUUUCUACUAUGAGAUACUGAAUUCUCCUGAUUGGGCUUACUAGAAAAUUAUACUUGUCGUCUCCAAUCCCUUAGUUGUUUUUUACGUCCCAAAAAAAGUAUAGAGCACCUAGUUCUGAAUCUUUUAUGGUUAACGUCAACAAGAUUUGAAAUGGCUGGAGCUUGUAAUUCAGAUGGGCCUUUUUACUUGAUAGGAAUGUUAUAAGUAUGCAUUAUGACUAAUUUUGUUCAUAAUAUUCUGGCAAGCAAGGCUUUUGAUGAGGCAAUUGCGGAGUUGGACACCCUUGGAGAAGAGUCUUACAAGGAUAGCAUUCUGAUCAUGCAGCUUCUCGUGACAACCUAACUUUGUGGACUUCAGACAUGCAGGUAAAUUUUUCUACCCCAACCACUGCUAUUAUUUAAAGGAAUUACUGGUAAAUAAUUAUUACUGUUCUGGUGUGUAGGAUAAUGGUUCCCAGGAGGUCAAGGAACCACCAAAACAAGAUUAGUAAAAUUUUAUGAUCCCGAUUUGAGUGUUUUGUUAAUAUUUGCAGUAUUCUGUUUUCCCCGAAUUGAAAGCGCUCCUUGUAGCCAGUAUUCAUCUCUAUUAUUUACUUCUUUUGGUGAUACGAACUUUUAGAAUUUCCUAUAUCUAUCUUUAUUGUUUUCUAAAAUAACUACUGUUAAUCUUUGUGCCAAUCGUUGUUUGUUUACAAUUUACGGUUCUUAUCUUUGGGAAAAUAAUUGAUCAAUAUUUUCUUCGAUGUGGUGUGUUUGUUCACCUUCUACACACUUCAUGUAAAAUUCUGCACUAAUUUACUCUAUUCUGAAAUUCUCACUAAUCUUUAUUUGUUAUCACAUUUUUUGAUUCACUUUCUUGAGCUCAUCAAGUGAUAAGAAUUAGCAUAGUUUAGAUUAUGUUUUAUGACAUCACAUUCUCUAUACACUAGAGAUAAUUACGUGCUCACGUUCACAUGCUUGUAGACCCAUGGCUCCAAACCUUGUGAUGAGGACGUCACCUAUAUUUAUUUUUAUUUUUAUUUAGACUCUUAUUUAUUCUGUUUAUUUUAGUUGAACUAUUAUUUAGUGGGCUUGGCUCUUCUCUUUAGGGUUUUGCUUAGUUAUUUAAACUUAU
rnacentral:lncRNA from 1 species